ACAUUGUCUUUCAAAGUUUGGUAGUGAUAAUCAUAGCUGUUCUUGAAAUUGCCCAACGGACGCAACACAACGCCUGGAAACUCGGUGUCCAUGGCAACGUAGGGGUAGUCAUCAACUAUUUCACGAAUCAAAGCGAAUUCUUCCUCAAGGUUAUCGUUCCAGACCUCACGGAUUUGGAUUGAAUCGCCCUUCGGCAGCAAAGACAUCACUUGAAAAACCAAAAAAAAAAAAAAACCUAAUUUCUUUUUCAACCAAUAACAACCCAAGAAAAAGAUUCCUAGAUUACCACGAAAACCCCAAACAAGGAAUCAAUUUGCAAAACACCCAGAUUGAAUUUCACCAGAUCUGCAAGAAAUUACAAUAAAUUUAAGGCUAUAAAUCCUCCAAACCAAAUAAACGCCAGCUUCACCCAGAAAUGAAUUUCCAAGAACUAAACGAUAAAUUAAAUAAAUGAUUAUAUAGAUGAAGAAAUGAAGAAGGAACUUACCUUAAAGAAGUGGAAAAAUGGAUGGUUUUUUUGAGAGAAAUAAAUAAACAAGGCAGAUUCUAGAGAGAGAAAGAUCAAGAAAAUUUCUGAAAGGUACUUCCUUUCUCUCUGUAGGGUUUCCUGUUUGCAGUAUGAUUGGAGGCCCUAAAAUGGGUUUUUCCUUUUUCUUAAGAACUGGUCGUUGACUUGUCGUGGUUACUGCUUUAUGGUUUCUUCCUUUUUAUCUGUUUUGUUUGUUUCUCGGGAAAAAGAGAGGUUUCACUGUUCUGUUUCUCCAACGAGUUUAUAUCCGAUACAGUAACACUGUAUAACUUGUAUAUACAUUAUAGAAGUAAUUUUAAAAUUUUUAAUAUCAAUAAAAUUUCGUAUCACAUGAUACCUCUUCUUCUUUAUGUAACUUCAAUUAAAACAUCUAAUUUAGGUCAUAAUUUACAUGAGAUUUCCAAAAUUAUUAAUUAAAGAUAGGUCAUGAAAUAUAAAAGAAUUACAUAAGGUUGUGCAAAAAUGAAAUAUGAACUCAAAACUCAACACUGCUAUUAUCAGAAUUGCAAAUUCAUAUAGUCACCUUAAUAAUCUUGCAAAAUUUAUAACCGGAUAAUUAAAAAAAUAAAAUUUCAUUUCAAAAAACAAUGAAAGAGCUAUUGAAUUAAUUGAGAAAGUGAAUACAAAAGAAAUUCAUAUAUAAAUUGUAGGGCGUAUCCAUAGAAAAUGUUAAAUUGAUCCAAAAAAGUAGAGUUCUUGUACAAUCCAUUGAAGCGAAAAUUAAUAAUCUCUCCCUUAGAGUUUGAAUUAUCUGUGAGCUAUUAGGAAUCCAAAUUUUGACAAUUAUAAUUAAAGAGUUAAUAAAAACUAUACACUAUCAAUAAAAUCAUAUUUAAAAUUAUAUAUAUAUAUAUAUAUAUAUAUAUAUAUAUAUAUAUAAUGGAAAGAGAUGGGAAUGGUAUGGAGUCGAUUGCCUUUCCCUUGCUUACUUCCUUUUGAACACGAAAAGAAAAAUCUAAAAUAAACGUAAAUUUUUCAUAUACGAAUUUAUCAAUAUUUAUUUCAGUUAUUACUCCAAUUCUUUCAAUAUUAUGAUCAAUUCCUUUAUUAAAUUUUCAAAAAAUUUAUCAAUUCAUUUAUUUUUAUUACAUAGUAUGAUCAUGAGUCAACUUUAGUAGGUAUUUCCUUUUUAAAAUUUUUAUUAUUCAAUUAAUAAAAUAAAAUUUUAUGUGUUAAUAUUUUAAAAUUAAUUUAAGAUAAACUUAAAUAAAAUAUAUUAUUUGUUAAAAAAAAUCUAAUCCAUCCGAAUUGAUUUUGGAUUUAAACAAUUAUAUUCCAACUCAACUCGAUGUGCAUCAAAUUUGCAAAUUAUGAUGAAUAACGUGAUCCAUUAAAGAACUUAAAAUUUUAUAUUAAUAAUAACCACUUAUAUUACCAACAAGUUUUACUUAUAUGCAACAUUAAUAUUCUUUAUAUACUUACAUUUAUUAAGAACACAACUUAUAUCCAUAAGUAUUUGGUAGUCACGAUAAAAGAAUUUGAUUGCAAUUUAAUUAUGUAAACUUUUUCACAAUAUCCACGAAAAAAUUAAAUUUGAAAAAAAAGGAGCUUUAAACGAGUGUAAAUUCUAUCUCCUUGCUAAUCAAAAGUUGCUUCACACUUAUAAAAGUUGUUCAUUUUUUCUUACUGAAUCAUGAAAUUUCAUUAAAAGGAACAAAAAAAAAAAUCAUUAUUACAUAAAAAACAUGACCAACAUUAUAAAAAUAAGUAAAAACCAACAAACCGAAAAUAAAGAUAAGAAAGUGGAAACCAGCUCCAACUGGAACUUCACAUGAAAAAGCAUCCUGCGCAUACAAGAAAAAACCAAGUCUGGCCAUGGCAUGUGCAUGAUUGAAUAUCUCUUCUUUUGUGAGAGGAUGAGGACCAUCAUCACUCAUCAUUACAUCAUACAACUAAUAUCAUACAUUAGGUCAAUGGAGCCAUACCAUGACAGAGAAUAGUGACGACAAUUCAGAACAUGUGACAAGAUUUAUGAGUUUAUUUUACUUUUGAAAUGUUCUUGAAAGCUUGACUUAAUAACUAAAACAUGAAGAUAGUUAAAAGAUCAUCCAUUUAUCCUUUCAUUAAAGUAUAUGUGCUUCACCUUUUUCCUUUUUCCCUAAAAAACACUGACACAUUGUUAAGUGCGACUUAACUCCACUGUCUCAUUAAACCAAAACAUCGUUUCACUACCGAGCUCUCAUGCUAUCCCAUGAUAAAUGCGUUAUGACAUAAUGGACGUGUUCUUAUCAUUAACACGUUCUUUCUUUCGAUGAUAUCCAAUAAGCACAUUAUAUAUAUAUAUAUAUAUGAGCUUGGCAAUUAAAGAUGCAAAUCAAAAUUUCACCGAAUUCAUUAAUCUCUCUAAAAGCUCUCCCUCAACUCUUCCCAAAUACUCUCUCUCAACUCUUUCCUAUUCUAUUCUCCUUCAUGCUUCGCCGCCAAGCUUUCACUAUCUUUUCCCUAACUUUUAUCUCUCACCUCCUGCCAUAAAGCACUUGAAACUUCAAGAAUUGCCUUAAUCUUCCUCUCCGUCGCCUCUAGUGCAUCUCACUUUACUUGUUGUAACACUUUCUCUUCCCUUAUCAAAGAAACCCAUACAUCCAAGCAUUAUAAAACCUAGUAUACCUACUUAAGUUUCCUAAUUUCUUAAUUUUGCAGCCAAUCAAGAAAUUUUGUCCUAAACCCCUUUGUUGCCCAGGUCUGUGCAAAGUUCAGGCAUUUCAUGAAAGGCAAGAAGAGUGCCUCAAGGUCCUCAACAGAAUGGAGCAUCUUAGAAUACAUAAAAACUCAAAAAUAUCCCAGGCAUUAAGCUUGUACUAGAAAAGUAGAAAGCUGUAAUGGUAAAAGCACAAAAAAAAAAAAAAAAAAGUAAAAUGGUGAAUGGAGUUAGAAAUAACUAAAAAGCAUCAAAUAAGGGGAACCUGAAUCAAUAAUAAAUAACUCAGCAACUAGCUUACUCAAGACACAAAGAUACACAGCACUCUAACAAGCCAAGGGAAGUAGAACAUUCCUUGUUGCUAGAUAAUAUACAGACACAGAGAUCAAUACAUAGAUACAGAUACAGAGAUUGAUAAAUACAGGGUGGAAGGGCUUUAUAAACAAUCCAUGCUUGUUGACAACAACGUUUCUCAUCCUAUUAUCCUCUGUAUAAUGAAUAAACAAACACCUAAAUAUGAAUUGCUCAAGAUGAUGCCAAGGGUUAAAAAAUGGCAGAGAAAUUUGAAUUUGAGCCUUCAAAAAUCAAGAGUGUGAUAUCAUAUGGUACCUAGGUGCCAACAUGCUUCUGCGUGCAUGUAUCUGUAUACUAUCUAGCAACAGCCUAGUUAAUUACUAAAAGGACAAGCUGGAGUGACAAAACCACCUAUUUAGGCAAUGAGCCUGUUUGGAGGAUGAAAGUAAAUAUUCUAACCACAAUUUAAAGCAGCUUUAUAAAAUUACAAGAGAAGGAAAAUGUCAAAGAUCAUAAUAUAAGUUAAACAUGCAUAGAUUGUAUGAAAUCCCCAACCAGAAACUAGAUGUGCCAAACCUUGUAUUUGCAUACUCAAUGCAUUAAUAAGAGACAAAAAGAGUGAGGUAAACAGUAUUCUUUAUAAGACGCCUCUUCUAAUGAUGAAUAACCAUUGCUAAGGUCCUGAAUUUUCCCUCAUGUCACAUCAGAAAAAAAAAAUGAUCUCUGAAGAAAACUCACCAACCUAGGAAAAAAAAAUGAUCUCUGAAGAAAACUCACCAACCUAGGAAAAGGCAAAUUACCUAACAGAUAAGGAUUGAGGCAGAUUUCAGGUGAGAUCCAUUUUCCCAAACAGCAACGUCCAAACAAUAUUUAUUCCUUGAGAAGAGAUAACCUAGAUAAUGGAUCUUACCUCGUAUAUUGAAGAAAUCAUAGAGCAGUAAUUCCUAUGCAGAGAGACCUUAAAUUUAGAUCAAGCUUUCAUUACCAUCCAGAAGUCUGAAACUAGAAUAGCAACGAUAAAAAGAAAGAACUUGACAGUGAAAGUUUACUUUUAAACUCAGUCAGAAUGAAGAGAUAUUUAAUAAAUUUUGGUAACUGUGAUCGAUAAGUACCCAUAUUUUUGCUUCUCAAUCUGAUAUUAACAGAAAAAACCUAGGGCCCCUGCUGCAUUACCUGAAAAAUAAAGAAAAUAUCAAGAUUCCUUAGGAUGAAGUAAGCCUUCAAAAUAAUUGUUCAAUGAAUUGUGGAUUAAGAUUUAUGUGCAGUGAUUAUACCAAAACGUAUCAUGAAAUAAUUUAAAAGGUGAAUUUCGCAUUCAUUGUCACUCAAAUCUUUGUGGACAGAGCUGUAUAUGAAAAUAUAAAAAAUUACCUAAAAAGAACGAGAAUUGAUGGAAAAUGCGGCAUUCGAGGGGAUAUAUGAUAUAUUUAGGCAAUAAGCUUCAACAGGCAAGUUCUAAAAAUUGUUGCAAUGGGAGAAUUGACACUAACAGAAAGUGGAAUGACGAAGAAGAGAGGUUGCUAGGCAAGAAGUACUGCCUUAUAGACCCAACUUGUACAAAGGAAUAAUCAGCAAUGCAGUAGAAAAUAGAGAACAUUCAACCAUUAAUUAGUUUUACCUUUAAGAUAAUAAGAGUAAGAUUUGGUACAACAGACACAAGGCCCGUCGGAUGUCAGUCAUUAUUCUUGAUCACCAGUCACAACCACUAAAUAAAAGGGUUAAACGUGCACGAGAGAGAGAGAUGGACAGAGAAGAGUGGGGUGAGGGAAACAAUAUAGGAAGUAAUCUAAUUCUAGAAAAUAUGAUAGAUACAAAAGCAAGGCAUUCAAGAAAAGGAUGAUAACAUUCUAAUACUUAAUAGAAAUGGAUGUCUACCAUUAAAUACCCUAAAAGAUGCACUAUUUUAGGAUUGUGCAGUGACAUUUCAGAAGCAAUGGUGGUGGUGUAAAUAUUGUGUUCAUUCAUAGUUAGAAAUAUAACCAUCAAGAUUAUGCUCCAUCAUUUUUCCAAUUUGCUAUCACAUAAUAUAUGAACAUAAAUGCACCACUUGAUACUUGACAGAUACAUGAAACAUAAAAAUUUAUAAUGCAGCAACAGAAAGAACAAAGAGAACAAUAAGCCUAAGAAAAUAUACAUAAAUUACGAAAAUUGUUGCCAACAGUGUACAUUGAAGUGUGGGUAGGAGGCACACUCGUACAGACAAACAAACAGUUGUCCAAAUCUUUUUUUGUUUUUAUUACUUUUCAUUUUCAAUAAGUACUCUGUCCAUUCUCAAUACCUAAACCGUACAACACACCGGAAUACUUUUCCAAAGAGCCACUAAAGAAAUUCUCUUUCAAUUUCCUGAAUGUACAAGAUGUGAGCAAACUGUCUGAACCCGCUUGAUGACAAAUCCCAACUCUUUCUACUUCCAACAACUCUGCAAGCUUGUUCAAUCCACCGUGCAGACUGUUGCAAAACUUCAUCAAAUGCUUGAUAUCAUAAAGGGUAGGAAAGUAAAUAUUGAUCAAACUAAAGAACUCAACUUGUGUAUCUGGCAAAUUCUGGCAAGUCAAGAGCUUAAGCAAGUACCCAAAAUCAUAGCCACUAUGGAAAGUAACCCAAUGCACACUAUCAUUCAAAACAAUCCCUGAAGACAUCAAAAGCUCACCAAACCUCAUUGCAUCAAUGCCCUUCUCAUUGUUUUUCUUGAAAUCAAUUCCACUUUGCCUCAAAAGCUCAAUGGAAUCAUUAGCAAACACAUCCUCAUUGACAUUAAACUCGCAGAAAUUGAAUUGCCAAAUGCAAUACUUAUCAGUUCCACAAGUAGGCAAGUUUCCUUGGUCGUCGGAAAGCGUAAGACCCAAUUGAAUCAACUUUAACAUAUCGACAUUGUCUUUCAAAGUUUGGUAGUGGAAGUCAUAGCUGUUCUUGAAAUUGCCCACGGGGCGCAACACAAUGCCUGGAAACUCGGUGUCCAUGGCAACGAAGGGGUAGUCAUCAACUAUUUCACGAAUCAAAGCGAAUUCUUCCUCAAGGUUAUCGUUCCAGACCUCACGGAUUUGGAUUGAAUCGCUCUUUGGCAACAAAGACAUCACUUGAAAAACCAAAAACAAAAAAAAAACUAAUUUCUUUUUCAACCAAUAACAACCCAAGAAGACAAAGAUUCCUAGAUUACCACGAA
rnacentral:lncRNA from 1 species